AAUGAACGCUGGCGGCGCGCCUAAUACAUGCAAGUCGAGCGAGAAGACGUAGCAAUACGUUUGUAAAGCGGCGAACGGGUGAGGAAUACAUGGGUAACCUACCCUCGAGUGGGGAAUAACUAGCCGAAAGGUUAGCUAAUACCGCGUACGCUCCUUGGACUUCGGUUCAGGGAGGAAAGCGAUACCGUGGGUAUCGCGCUCUUGGUUGGCUCAUGUCCUAUCAGCUUGUUGGUGAGGUAACGGCUCACCAAGGCUUCGACGGUAGCUGGUCUGNGAGGACGAUCAGCCACACUGGCACUGCGACACGGGCC
rnacentral:rRNA from 1 species